AAAGUGGUACGCGAGCUGGGUUUAGAACGUCGUGAGACAGUUCGGUCCCUAUCUGCCGUGGGCGUUGGAAGAUUGAAGGGGGCUGCUCCUAGUACGAGAGGACCGGAGUGGACGAACCUCUGGUGUUCGGGUUGUGUCGCCAGACGCAUUGCCCGGUAGCUAAGUUCGGAAUCGAUAACCGCUGAAAGCAUCUAAGCGGGAAGCGAGCCCUGAGAUGAGUCUUCCCUGAUACUUUAAGUAUCCUAAAGGGUUGUUCGAGACUAGAACGUUGAUAGGCAGGGUGUGUAAGCGUUGUGAGGCGUUGAGCUAACCUGUACUAAUUGCCCGUGAGGCUUAACCAU
rnacentral:rRNA from 1 species